AUUGAACGCUGGCGGCAGGCCUAACACAUGCAAGUCGAACGAGUGGCGGACGGGUGAGUAAUUUCUGGGACACUGCCUGAUGGAGGGGGAUCACUACUGGAAACGGUAGCUAAUACCGCAUACCCUCAGAUGUGCCCAGAUGGGCUUAGCUAGUUGGUUGGGUAACGGCUAACCAAGGCGACGAUCCCUAGCUGGUCUGAGAGGAUGACCAGCCACCCUGGAACUGAGACACGGUCCAGACUCCUACUGGAGGCAGCAGUGGGGAAUAUUGCACGAUGGGCGCAAGCCUGAUGCAGCCAUGCCGCGUGUAUGAAGAAGGCCUUCGGGUUGUAAAGUACUUUCAGCGGUGAGGCGUUACCCUCAGAAGAAGCACCGGCUAACUCCGUGCCAGCAGCCGCGGUAAUAC
rnacentral:rRNA from 1 species